rnacentral:lncRNA from 1 species
GAUCCUUUUCAGCCUGAAGUCUUAUGUGCUUUGGUUUUCUUUUUCAGGUUGAGGGUUAGAGGCUAAGCAAAAAAAAAAAAAAUCAGUUGCAAAAAUGCAUGAUUAAAGAAUACAUUCAGAGGGACUUUUUCGCCUUUCCUUUCUUCCUCAUCUAAUGGAGGGCAGCACUAUAAUGGCAGCGUUGACAUCAGCUUCUAAGGAUGCUGGAAUAAGAAGAAUGACUCAAAACUGAAAAGAAAGGGAUGCUUACAUUUAUAGUUUCCAGAUGAGGGUAUGGCUCAAGAUCGAUAAUUUUAUCAGUGGAGGGAACUCAGCAUGAAACUCCCUUUGCUGAUGGCUUUCCCAUGCUCACCCAGCAACUGCCUUUGCUUAGAAAAAAUGUAUAAGAUCAGGUAAACUAAAAGGUAAAACACUGACUUCAACAAGGUAUGCAUUUAAAGUAAAUGACUAUAUAGAAGCCCAAUCAACUAGGGAAUGAUAAUAUUUAAGUAAGGAGAGUGAAUGGAUUGAUAUUAAUUUACAUUCUAUAAAAACUGCCCAAUUAGGAAACUUUCUCAUUCAUUUCACCUCUUGCAUGCAAACUGGCACAUUCUUGGCAAUUCCCCAUCUUAGUCUCCAAAAUUUAGAGGUUAAGUGACUUGCUGAGAGUCAUAUAGCUAGUAUGCGAGGUGUUACUUGAAUCCAGGGUCCAAGUCUUGUUUUCUCUCUACUAUACAACAAUGCCCCUCUAUAAUUAUAAUUGAAUGAUACAUAACAAAACAUGUCUUUGAAGGAUUCAGAGAAACACAGGAAACUCUGAAAACUAAAGUGAAGCAAAACAAGAAGAAUCAGAAAAUAAUAUACACAAUGGUUCCAAUAAUGUAAAUGGGAACAGCAGCAACACAGAAAACAACCAAAACAAAAUGGAAUGGCGUAUAAUUAAUAUGAUGAUGAAGGUUGGCCCCAGAGAAGAGAUUAGAAAAUGAUCCUACCUUCCUUCUUGGAAAGAAGGCUGACUGACUUUAGAACAUUAUACACAAUCAAUCAGUAGGCACUUAUUGGGCAUUCCCUACAUAACAGGAACUGUCCUAGGUACUGGGACAUAAAGACAUAAGAAAAUGAAAUGGUCUCUUCUCUCAAGGAAUUUUGCAUGGAGUGGGGAACAACAUGUACAUAAAGAAGUACAAUAUGAAUAGAAUAGAUAUAAAUAAAAAUAGCCAAAUGGAAG